GAUGAACGCUGGCGGCGUGCUUAACACAUGCAAGUCGAACGGAAAGGCCCAAGCUUGCUUGGGUACUCGAGUGGCGAACGGGUGAGUAACACGUGGGUGAUCUGCCCUGCACUUCGGGAUAAGCCUGGGAAACUGGGUCUAAUACCGGAUAGGACCACUUCUUGGAUGUUGUGGUGGAAAGUUUUUUCGGUGUGGGAUGAGCUCGCGGCCUAUCAGCUUGUUGGUGGGGUAAUGGCCUACCAAGGCGUCGACGGGUAGCCGGCCUGAGAGGGUGUACGGCCACAUUGGGACUGAGAGACGGCCCAGACGCCUACGGGAGGCAGCAGUGGGGAAUAUUGCACAAUGGGCGCAAGCCGGAUGCAGCGACGCCGCGUGGGGGAUGACGGCCUUCGGGUUGUAAACGCCUUUCGCUAGGGACGAAGCGUUUUGUGACGGUACCUGGAGAAGAAGCACCGGCUAACUACGUG
rnacentral:rRNA from 1 species